rnacentral:rRNA from 1 species
ACUCAAAGGAAUUGACGGGUCCCCGCACAAGCAGCGGAGCGUGUGGUUUAAUUCGAUGAUACACGAAAAACCUUACCCGGGUUUGACAUAUAAGUAGUAGGGAUCUGAAAAGUGACCGACCCUUCGGGGAGCUUAUACAGGUGCUGCAUGGCUGUCGUCAGCUCGUGCCGUGAGGUGUCCGGUUAAGUCCGGUAACGAGCGCAACCCCCACUGUAUGUUACAAGUGUCAUACGGAACUGCCGGUAUCAAGCCGGAGGAAGGUGGGGAUGACGUCAAGUCAGCAUGGCCUUUAUAUCCGGGGCUACACACACGCUACAAUGGCCAGUACAAUGGGUUUGCAAGACCGCGAGGUGGAGCCAAUCCUCAAAGCUGGUCUCAGUUCAGAUUGUAGGCUGCAACCCGCCUACAUGAAGUCGGAGUUGCUAGUAACCGCAGGCCAGCCAUACUGCGGUGAAUACGUUCUCGGGGAUUGUACACACCGCCCGU